rnacentral:lncRNA from 1 species
ACUGUAAGUUUCCUGAGGCCUCCCCAGCCCUGCAGAAUUCACUACUCCUUGCCGCCACCAUGCAAAGAACAAUGUGUUUGCUUCCCCUUCUGCCAUGAUUGUAGGUGUCCUGAGGCCUCCCAGCCCUGCAGAACAAUGUGGAAAUUGAGGCUCAUAAAGGUUAACAUCCCCAAAUAAGGGUCUACGUCCAAAUCCUAUGCUCUUAAGUCCUAUAUUGUCUCCCAAAUGAAGAGGGUCUUCUCGUGAAAAUGGCCUGGAAGUGGUAUAGGGAGCUAAAGAUGAUAAAAACCUAUCUCCUGGCUUUGGCUUAUGAGGAGAUAGUAUCAGAUCCCACAGGUUUGAUCCUACAAGACUGCCCAACUUCAGAUGCCGACUGCAAACCCCAGGCUGUGGCCUGAUCAGCUGGCUAUAAAUUGGACUUCCAAUGACCCCCACCUUGAAUUCUAUUAAUUUGCUGGAGCAGCUCACAGAACUUGGGGAAACACUUUAUUUACCUCUACUCAUUUAUUAUAAAGAAAGGAUACAAAGAGCCAGAUGGAAGAGAUGCAUAAAGGAAGAUGCUGCAACCCACCGAGAACAACAUUAGACUAUACUAUGCCCACAUUAAUUACUUUCCCCCUCAUCACCUUAGAAAAUACUUUCAUUUUUCAGUAUUGUGUGGACACCUGUGAGCUGGUUAUUUUGAAAAAGGAAAAACCCAACCAAUUAAAAUGGACUGCUCUAUUAAAGAACAUAACAUAAUCAGGGCACAUGGCAAGUAUUUAUUUGUUUUUUAAAAAUAAGUAUGUUGAGGGAUGGGAGUGAUUCUGACUAUCAAAUAUU